CAAAUGAAUUGACGGGACCCGCACAAGCGGUGGAUGAUGUGGUUUAAUUCGAUGCAACGCGAAAACCUUACCACCUUUGACAUGUACGGAAUCCUUUAGAGAUAGAGGAGUGCUCGAAAGAGAGCCGUAACACAGGUGCUGCAUGGCUGUCGUCAGCUCGUGUCGUGAGAUGUUGGGUUAAGUCCCGCAACGAGCGCAACCCUUGUCAUUAGUUGCUACAUUCAGUUGGGCACUCUAAUGAGACUGCCGGUGACAAACCGGAGGAAGGUGGGGAUGACGUCAAGUCCUCAUGGCCCUUAUAGGUGGGGCUACACACGUCAUACAAUGGAUGGUACAAAGGGUCGCCAACCCGCGAGGGGGAGCCAAUCCCAUAAAGCCAUUCGUAGUCCGGAUCGCAGUCUGCAACUCGACUGCGUGAAGUCGGAAUCGCUAGUAAUCGUGGAUCAGAAUGUCACGGUGAAUACGUUCCCGGGUCUU
rnacentral:rRNA from 1 species